GAUGAACGCUGGCGGCGUGCCUAAUACAUGCAAGUCGAGCGAACGGACGAGAAGCUUGCUUCUCUGAUGUUAGCGGCGGACGGGUGAGUAACACGUGGAUAACCUACCUAUAAGACUGGGAUAACUUCGGGAAACCGGAGCUAAUACCGGAUAAUAUUUUGAACCGCAUGGUUCCAAAGUGAAAGACGGUCUUGCUGUCACUUAUAGAUGGAUCCGCGCUGCAUUAGCUAGUUGGUAAGGUAACGGCUUACCAAGGCAACGAUGCAUAGCCGACCUGAGAGGGUGAUCGGCCACACUGGAACUGAGACACGGUCCAGACUCCUACGGGAGGCAGCAGUAGGGAAUCUUCCGCAAUGGGCGAGAGCCUGACGGAGCAACGCCGCGUGAGUGAUGAAGGUCUUCGGAUCGUAAAACGCUGUUAUUAGGGAAGAACAUAUGUGUAAGUAACUGUGCACAUCUUGACGGUACCGAAUCAGAAAGCCACGGCUAACUACGUG
rnacentral:rRNA from 1 species